rnacentral:rRNA from 1 species
GACGAACGCUGGCGGCGUGCCUAAUACAUGCAAGUCGAACGCAGUGGGGACGGGUGAGUAACACGUGGGUAACCUCCCAUCAGAGGGGAUAACACUUGGAAACAGGUGCUAAACCGAUACUGAUGGAUGGACCCGCGGUGCAUUAGCUAGUUGGUGAGGUAACGGCUUACCAAGGCCACGAUGCAUAGACGACUGGAGAGGGUGAUCGGCGACACUGGGACGGAGACAGGGUCAAUGCGACUGCGAGAGGUCGCAGUAGGGAAUCGUCGGCAAUGGACGAAAGUCUGACCGAGCAACGCCACGUGAGUGAAGACGGUUUUCGGAUCGUAAAACUCUGCUGUUAGAUAAGCGGUAUCUAACCAGAAAGCCACGGCUAACUACGUGCCAGCAGCCGCGGUAAUAC